CUUGGUUGAUGGAACACAUGUAACAUGUCACAAAAAGCUUUCAAAACAGCCCUGUGUUUGUCCACAUAAGUCUAGUUAUCCAUUGAUUUUGCCUUACACAUCAAGAUUAAUACAUUAACUAAAACUAUCAAUCAUGGUCCCACACGAGUAUCAAGCUGUAAUUGCAUGCAUAUUUGGAAUUUAAAAAUUUAGUUUUGUUUGUUUGGCCCGCCAUAUGCGGGCUCUAAUUUGCAUAAUCUGCAUUCCUUGUGGGCUUAAGACCGCACCCAUACCAUGUUUUUGAUUGUCCAAGUUAUUCAAGCGUAUCUCUAUGUAAAUGAAGCGCUUUCUCAGCCUCCCCAUUCAGGUGAACUCACACACACACACACACACCGAGUACGUAUAUCCUGCAUCCUUGCUCAAUUCUGACUUGACUUGGUGCUUUUCUGAACUGACUAGAUCUAUACUUGCCUUGUUCUAAGUUAUGUCUACUUCAAGUGACAAUGUUCAAACUGAAAUUUUUGACAAAUUCAAAGAUUAUUUCGACGCUAAGUUCAGCGCGAUUUCCAAGCCAGUAGAUGACUCCACUGCUUUGGAAGAACUGAAACUCAAGUUGGAGGCAAAGGAUCUUUCUAGACCGGGCAACAUCGCUUCGUUUGAGUUUUUUUUCGACAGUUGGAGAUUCUACUAUACAAAAUUCAAACCGCUCUAACAACCGAAAAUAACACCGAAGCAGUUUUACAAGCUGAGUCAAGAAGGUCCUAGACCUCCUCGCCGACAGAAAGCAAAAAAUUCGAAUUGCCGACUCCAAGCAAGGCUGGCUGGGGAACUAUUUCCCACCUGGACAAGAGAAACGCCGAUAAGUUGUCCGCCGAGCAACACAAGAAGGUUUUGGCCGCCAAGGAAGCCGCCCUGUCCUUGCUCUAUGCCCUGAAAGGACAUCGAGACGCGUAAGCGUCGACGAAAUGAAUCUCCGCAACUCCAGCAGAGUGGUUCGAAUUCGAAGCCAGCAUUCGGACAUCCUGAUCGUUAUCUUUUUCGAGGCAUGUCGUCUUUUGAGUCGUGCUUCUCCUGCGGAAUGUCGGGCCAUUGGUCCAGAAAUUGCCCCUAUUCCUUUGGAUCCAACACCUACUAGCGCUUCCGGACCCAGGCAAGAUCCACUCCAGCCGUCCCUUUCAGGGAGGAACAGACCACCUUUCUCGUCAUGGCACGCCACAUCUUACCAGAUGCAGAGAGCAUUGCCUCAAGCAAGCCAGCAUGGAACCGCCUCGACAGGGCCGUUUGAUACCGCCAGUACUAGCAACACCUCAACAUUGCCCAAGGCACAGAAGAGACAACGUUUGCAAGACGUUUGAUGACGUUCUUAAGUUUCCGAUGGCAUUCCAUGGACAGAUGUCGUUACGGAGUACGUGACGGGUUACACUGGCUUUUGACUCCGGUUACGAGAAAAGAAUCAAGAAAGCAGAAAGGUCGGCCGCCUCCUAAGAAGGGAUCCCAGUGUCAGCAGAUCAUAUUCAACCAAAACAGAUGUGGCCACUAAAUUAGCAACAGUUUUUUCGUCCCACUGGGGGUCCCUUAUCACGACAACCGCAUCUCCUUCCAAUGCGGUACCCAAGGUCACUUUGCAAACAACAUUUCAAUCGCUUCGAGCACCACAAACAGGACUACAAGCAUCCACACACCCAAAAAGCCGUGGAGACUGGGAAGCACAAGGUAGAUUGAAACAAUGUAUUUCCUUUUAGAUAAAUGUUUUGAAGGCCAGCCUUUUUUAUGGAUGUUUUGGAUUCAGGAUAUAAGAUCCCGAGCAACUGAGCAAUAUAUCCAUCUUAUUUUAGAAAAUACUUUUGAAAAUGCUCUCCCUAGAGUUUGUACACAACCGUUUGAAUCUUGCAUUCUUUCCGCGAACAAAAAAAAGACUGUGUUUGGGGUAUUGCAACAACAAGUUUGCAAUUUGUUCAAAAGACCAAAUUCAUGUACAUUUCAAGUUGUAAUUAGGAACAAUUUUUACUGUAGUUUCGAUCUUAGAUUAAAAGUGCUGAUUUACCCAUCAAAUGAACAGCUGUAAAAAAAAAAA